GGAUAAUAGUUCAGUGGUAGAGCACAUGCUUAGCAUGCACAAAGUCCUGGGUUCAAUCCCUAGUAUGUCCA
rnacentral:tRNA from 1 species